rnacentral:rRNA from 1 species
UGCAGUCGUACGGCAGCACGGAGCUUGCUCUGGUGGCGAGUGGCGAACGGGUGAGAAAAAUCGGAACGUACCCUGGAGUGGGGGAUAACGUAGGAAAGUUACGCUAAUACCGCAUACGAUCUACGGAUGAAAGUGGGGGAUCGCAAGACCUCAUGCUCGUGGAGCGGCCGAUAUCUGAUUAGCUAGUUGGUAGGGUAAAAGCCUACCAAGGCAUCGAUCAGUAGCUGGUCUGAGAGGACGACCAGCCACACUGGAACUGAGACACGGUCCAGACUCCUACGGGAGGCAGCAGUGGGGAAUUUUGGACAAUGGGCGAAAGCCUGAUCCAGCAAUGCCGCGUGAGUGAAGAAGGCCUUCGGGUUGUAAAGCUCUUUUGUCAGGGAAGAAACGGUGAGAGCUAAUAUCUCUUGCUAAUGACGGUACCUGAAGAAUAAGCACCGGCUAACUACGUGCCAGCAGCCGCGGUAAUACGUAGGGUGCAAGCGUUAAUCGGAAUUACUGGGCGUAAAGCGUGCGCAGGCGGUUUUGUAAGUCUGAUGUGAAAUCCCCGGGCUCAACCUGGGAAUUGCAUUGGAGACUGCAAGGCUAGAAUCUGGCAGAGGGGGGUAGAAUUCCACGUGUAGCAGUGAAAUGCGUAGAUAUGUGGAGGAACACCGAUGGCGAAGGCAGCCCCCUGGGUCAAGAUUGACGCUCAUGCACGAAAGCGUGGGGAGCAAACAGGAUUAGAUACCCUGGUAGUCCACGCCCUAAACGAUGUCUACUAGUUGUCGGGUCUUAAUUGACUUGGUAACGCAGCUAACGCGUGAAGUAGACCGCCUGGGGAGUACGGUCGCAAGAUUAAAACUCAAAGGAAUUGACGGGGACCCGCACCAGCGGUGGAUGAUGUGGAUUAAUUCGAUGCAACGCGAAAAACCUUACCUACUCUUGACAUGGCUGGAAUCCUCGAGAGAUUGGGUAGUGCUCGAAAGAAGACUCAGUACACAGGUGCUGCAUGG